UACGUAGGGCGCAAGCGUUUGUCCGGAAUUAUUGGGCGUAAAGCGCGCGUAGGCGGAUCGCUAAGUCAGGGGUGAAAUCCCAGGGCUCAACCCUGGAACUGCCUUUGAUACUGACGAUCUGGAGAUCGGGAGAGGUUGGUGGAAUUCCGAGUGUAGAGGUGAAAUUCGUAGAUAUUCGGAGGAACACCAGAAGCGAAGGCGGCCAACUGGCCCGAUACUGACGCUGAGGCGCGAAAGCGUGGGGAGCAAACAGG
rnacentral:rRNA from 1 species